GGUGAACGCUGGCGGUAGGCCUAACACAUGCAAGUCGAACGGCAGCACAGUAAGAGCUUGCUCUUACGGGUGGCGAGUGGCGGACGGGUGAGGAAUACAUCGGAAUCUACUUUUUCGUGGGGGAUAACGUAGGGAAACUUACGCUAAUACCGCAUACGACCUACGGGUGAAAGCAGGGGAUCUUCGGACCUUGCGCGAUUGAAUGAGCCGAUGUCGGAGUAGCUAGUUGGCGGGGUAAAGGCCCACCAAGGCGGCGAUCCGUAGCUGGUCUGAGAGGAGGAUCGGCCACACUGGAACUGAGACACGGUCCAGACUCCUACGGGAGGCAGCAGUGGGGAAUAUUGGACAAUGGGCGCAAGCCUGAUCCAGCCAUACCGCGUGGGUGAAGAAGGCCUUCGGGUUGUAAAGCCCUUUUGUUGGGAAAGAAAAGCAGCAGGUUAAUACCCCGCUGUUCUGACGGUACCCAAAGAAUAAGCACCGGCUAACUUCGUG
rnacentral:rRNA from 1 species